rnacentral:rRNA from 1 species
AGAGUUGAUCCUGGCUCAGGACGAACGCUGGCGGCGUGCCUAACAAAUGUGAGUCGAACGGAGAUGUAUCAUCUCUGCGGUCUUCGGACCAAAGAACCGAUGCAUCUUAGUGGCGAACGGGUGAGUAACACGUGGGUAACGUGCCUCGGUGUCCGGGACAACAGUUGGAAACGACUGCUAAUACCGGAUGGCACGACAGGACCGCAUGUUCCUGUCAUUAAAGAUUUCGAUCGCGCCGAGAUCGGCCCGCGGCUCAUUAGCUUGUUGGUGAGGUAACGGCUCACCAAGGCGACGAUGGGUAGCCGGUUUGAGAGGAUGGCCGGCCACACUGGGACUGAGACAUGGUCCAGACUCCUACGGGAGUUAGCAUUGGGGAAUCUUGCACAAUGGGCGAAAGCCUGAUGCAGCGACGCCGCGUGGGUGAUGAAGGCCUUAGGGUCGUAAAGCCCUGUCAGGAGUUAACGAAAGCCCGCGGUGAGCGGGACUGACGGUACCUCCAAAGGAAGCCCCGGCUAACUACGUGCCAGCAGCCGCGGUAAUACGUAGGGGGCCAGCGUUGUCCGGAAUUACUGGGCGUAAAGAGCACGUAGGCGGCACGGUAAGCGGCUGGUGAAAUCCCGGGGCUCAACCCCGGAACUGCUAGCCGAACUGCCGAGCUUGAGUCCGGGAGAGGAGAGCGGAAUUCCUGGUGUAGCGGUGAAAUGCAUAGAUAUCACGAGGAACACCUGUGGCGAAAGCUGCUCUCUGGAACGUGACUGACGCUGAGUGCGAAAGCUGGGGGAGCGAACGGGAUUAGAUACCCCGGUAGUCCCGGCUGUAAACGAUGGUCACUAGGUGUUGGAGGCAUCGACCCAUUCA